rnacentral:rRNA from 1 species
GGGAGCCCUAGUUGUUGUUGCAGGGUUUGCGUACAUGCAGUGCAACCCAGGACCAGCGCGUGUCGGGUCGGGCCGGUCGCCACCGAACGCGACGCGCAGGCGUGCUCGCUACUCACUCACGGGCUCACGGCACGCCGCACCGCGGAAUAGCUUCACACACGAUAUCUGAUGGACGACUUGUGGACGAUAGUAGGAUCUUACGUCCCGUAAUCAUGCAGGGAUUUAAUCUAACGGUGAUUACCUACCGUCGUGCAUGCAUCGGCUGCAAUAUCGUCGGCUGCGUAGCACUGCUCCGCCGCACCGGCACGCACGGUACGGCGGGGCCGUCGUCGGUACAACUACAA